rnacentral:rRNA from 1 species
GAAACCGGGUGAUCUAGCCAUGGGCAGGUUGAAGGUUGAGUAACAUCAACUGGAGGACCGAACCGACUAAUGUUGAAAAAUUAGCGGAUGACUUGUGGCUAGGGGUGAAAGGCCAAUCAAACUCGGAGAUAGCUGGUUCUCCCCGAAAGCUAUUUAGGUAGCGCCUCGGACGAAUACUACUGGGGGUAGAGCACUGUUAAGGCUAGGGGGUCAUCCCGACUUACCAACCCUUUGCAAACUCCGAAUACCAGUAAGUACUAUCCGGGAGACACACGGCGGGUGCUAACGUCCGUCGUGGAGAGGGAAACAACCCAGACCGCCAGCUAAGGUCCCAAAGUAUUGCUAAGUGGGAAACGAUGUGGGAAGGCUCAGACAGCUAGGAUGUUGGCUUAGAAGCAGCCAUCAUUUAAAGAAAGCGUAAUAGCUCACUAGUCGAGUCGGCCUGCGCGGAAGAUGUAACGGGGCUAAGCAAUACACCGAAGCUGCGGCAAUGUCUUUUAGAUAUUGGGUAGGGGAGCGUUCUGUAAGCCGUUGAAGGUGAAUCGUAAGGUUUGCUGGAGGUAUCAGAAGUGCGAAUGCUGACAUGAGUAACGACAAAGGGGGUGAAAAACCUCCUCGCCGGAAGACCAAGGGUUCCUGUCCAACGUUAAUCGGGGCAGGGUGAGUCGACCCCUAAGGUGAGGCCGAAAGGCGUAAUCGAUGGGAAACGGGUUAAUAUUCCCGUACUUCUGACUAUUGCGAUGGGGGGACGGAGAAGGCUAGGUGGGCCAGGCGACGGUUGUCCUGGUUCAAGUGCGUAGGCUUGAGAGUUAGGUAAAUCCGGCUCUCUUUAAGGCUGAGACACGACGUCGAGCUACUACGGUAGUGAAGUCAUUGAUGCCAUGCUUCCAGGAAAAGCCUCUAAGCUUCAGAUAGUCAGGAAUCGUACCCCAAACCGACACAGGUGGUCGGGUAGAGAAUACCAAGGCGCUUGAGAGAACUCGGGUGAAGGAACUAGGCAAAAUGGUACCGUAACUUCGGGAGAAGGUACGCUCUUGAUGGUGAAGUCCCUCGCGGAUGGAGCUGACGAGAGUCGCAGAUACCAGGUGGCUGCAACUGUUUAUUAAAAACACAGCACUGUGCAAAAUCGCAAGAUGACGUAUACGGUGUGACGCCUGCCCGGUGCCGGAAGGUUAAUUGAUGGGGUUAGCGCAAGCGAAGCUCUUGAUCGAAGCCCCGGUAAACGGCGGCCGUAACUAUAACGGUCCUAAGGUAGCGAAAUUCCUUGUCGGGUAAGUUCCGACCUGCACGAAUGGCGUAAUGAUGGCCACGCUGUCUCCACCCGAGACUCAGUGAAAUUGAAAUCGCUGUGAAGAUGCAGUGUACCCGCGGCUAGACGGAAAGACCCCGUGAACCUUUACUACAGCUUGGCACUGAACAUUGAACCUACAUGUGUAGGAUAGGUGGGAGGCUUUGAAGACGUGACGCCAGUUGCGUUGGAGCCGUCCUUGAAAUACCACCCUUGUAUGUUUGAUGUUCUAACUUAGACCCGUUAUCCGGGUUGAGGACAGUGCCUGGUGGGUAGUUUGACUGGGGCGGUCUCCUCCCAAAGAGUAACGGAGGAGCACGAAGGUGGGCUAAUCACGGUUGGACAUCGUGAGGUUAGUGCAAUGGCAUAAGCCCGCUUAACUGCGAGAAUGACGGUUCGAGCAGGUGCGAAAGCAGGUCAUAGUGAUCCGGUGGUUCUGUAUGGAAGGGCCAUCGCUCAACGGAUAAAAGGUACUCCGGGGAUAACAGGCUGAUACCGCCCAAGAGUUCAUAUCGACGGCGGUGUUUGGCACCUCGAUGUCGGCUCAUCACAUCCUGGGGCUGAAGUCGGUCCCAAGGGUAUGGCUGUUCGCCAUUUAAAGUGGUACGCGAGCUGGGUUUAGAACGUCGUGAGACAGUUCGGUCCCUAUCUGCCGUGGGCGUUGGAAGAUUGAAGGGGGCUGCUCCUAGUACGAGAGGACCGGAGUGGACGAACCUCUGGUGUUCGGGUUGUGUCGCCAGACGCAUUGCCCGGUAGCUAAGUUCGGAAUUGAUAAGCGCUGAAAGCAUCUAAGCGCGAAGCGAGC